AUUGAACGCUGGCGGCAGGCCUAACACAUGCAAGUCGAACGAGUGGCGGAUGGGUGAGUAAUGGCUGGGAAACUGGCUGGUGGAGGGGGAUAACUACUGGAAAAGGUAGCUACUGCCUCAAACUCUCCGAUGUGCCCAGCUGGGAUUUGCUGGUUGGUGGGGUAACGGCUCACUACGGCAGCGAUCCAUAACUGGUCUGAGAGGGUGAGCGGCCACACUGGAACUGAGACACGGUCCAGACUCCUACGGGAGGCAGCAGUAGGGAAUAUUGCACAAUGGGCGCAAGCCUGAUGCAGCCAUACCGCGUGUAUGAAGAAGGUCUUCGGGUUGUAAAAUUCUUUCAGCGGGGAAGCGUUACCCACAGAAGAAGCACCGGCUAACUACGUGCCAGCAGCCGCGGUAAUUC
rnacentral:rRNA from 1 species